UCAACUUUGUGCUCAAUGUUACCUUUCCCGCACAUGUCGCAUAGGCUUACUCCAACUGGACCCUUGUCUUUCAAUUCCCGGCCUGCUAUUAUUUGUGAACUUGUAUUGUUUUUAAUCAUUUUUGGGCUGUUUCUCUUUUUUUUUGUUUGGCCCAUAAAAUUCAUUACCUAUUUGUUCGCCAUUGCUAUUAGUUUGGGCAUGCCCCUCAGUCAUUGUGCUAUCUUGAAAUUUUUUUUAUUCCACUUGGGCCUCCUUUAUCCAGGCCCAUUUCAUUACUCUUGGUUCUCUCUUUUAUUUCAUUGAUGAAUCUGUUCAGCAUAUCAAUCAAACCUAAUUCUUCAAAUCCCUAAUUUUUCUUCCUUCUCAGCUGAUUUUCAAGGAUUUUCCCUAACUACUCUGCAUCUGUUGGUGAUCCUUGUUCUUUCUCAAUCUGAUCAUUUCCCAUCCUUUCUCCUAAAUUACGUUGAACAUUCUGUAGAUUGUUACCUACCCCACCGGCAGCAGAGUCUUGGCUCAUUCCUACAUUUCUCCCCGUGCUUUGUAGCUCACGCGCCUCUUCACCCAUUCCCAAUUGUUGGUGAUCUUCAUCUCCUUCAUUCUUGACAACUUUGUGACUAAGCGUUCUUACCUGAGUUGUGCUCAAUCCUUCCAUGUAUCUGGGUUUAUGUGGAUCCCAAGCUACCAUAGCAGUAGGAUUUUGCACUCUCUCUUCCCAUGACUAAUGAUUCCACAAUUCAUGCAGUACGCAUCUUGAAGCCGUUCAUACUUAAAAUGAAUCCAGGUUGGCGGUAGAGCAUCCCUCUCCAUCCAAAAUCCUGUUGCUAAUUCCCUGUUGACAUUAAUCGCAGUUCUGACCCUUAAAAACGUUCUUGCUAACACAUUCUCCCGAAUCGGGUCCUCCAGUUCCUCAACGAUUUCCAGUAGUUCUCCUAUCUUUCUGGCCUUCUCUUUGUUCGUGAAUUCCAAUAGUACCCCAUGAAAUUGAAUCCAAAACUCUAGAAAGGUCACUCUCUAGGCGAGAGAAAAAAAGGCCAAUUAUUCAACAUGUAAUAUCUUAGGAAUAUUAGCUACAAUCAAGAAAUAUCCUUCAACAUCAGAUCAAGUCUAACAAAAAAAAAGAUGUUGUAUAUCAAGCAAAACAAAGAAAGGAUUCUCAUUCAUUACUAACAGUCAUAACAAUAAUGCGGCAACGAUUUGCAGAACAAAAUAGAAAAGAUUUUUCAAUCAAUGCAAAUGACUACUGAGGUUGCAACAGUACAAAAAAUAAAAGAAAAAAAAAUAUUCAUUUGA